rnacentral:rRNA from 1 species
UACUCCCGCCGGCGACCGGCGCACGGGUGAGUAACACGUAUGCAACCUGCCCGUGGCAGGGGGAUAAGCGGGGGAAACCCCGUCUAAUACCGCGUAACGCGGCCUAGGGACAUCCCAAGGCCGCCAAAGGGAGCAAUCCCGGCCACGGAUGGGCAUGCGGCGCAUUAGCUAGUCGGCGGGGUAACGGCCCACCGAGGCGACGAUGCGUAGGGGUUCUGAGAGGAAGGCCCCCCACACUGGUACUGAGACACGGACCAGACUCCUACGGAAGGCAGCAG